UCUCCGCCGUCCGCCGCUGCUCUCCUCCGCCCAUCUCUCCGCCGCUGCUCUCCACCGUCAGCCCAUCUCUCCGCCGCUGCUCUCCGCCGUCCGCCCAUCUCUCCGCCGUCCGCCGCUGCUCUCCGCCGUCCGUCACUGCUUUCCUCUGAAUUCUCAUCCAAAUCCAAGCCAACUGUCAAAAGAAGAGCAAAUAAAAAUAAUAAAAAGGAGCAAGGAUUAGCUAAAUCAAGAGCAGCAAUUAGAAAAGCAGCUUCUAAUUUGCCGUCAUCCCGCCGCGUGCUGUCGAUCUGUUGCCGUCGCCAGCCGUUGCCGUCGCCGACAGCCGUCCGCCGACAGCCCUUCUUUCAAGGUAAUUUUCCUUUUUUUUAAAUCUUUGUUUGUUUAUGUUGAAAAGCUUGUAUGUGUUUGAUUAUUGCGAACUAUUUUUGGGUUUUUUCUCGGAAUUAUGUGUUUGUUUGUUUUAUGUUGAUUUGAUGAGCCUGUGUUGCUCGGAAUUAUUGUUGCUCGGAAUUAUGCGAACUGUUCUUGGGUUUUA